rnacentral:rRNA from 1 species
GACGAACCGUGCGAACGUUGUUCGGAUUCACUGGGCUUAAAGGGCGCGUAGGCGGCUUGCCAAGUCAGGGGUGAAAUCUUUCGGCUUAACCGGAAAAGUGCUUCUGAUACUGGCAGGCUGGAGGGGGGUAGGGGCGGACGGAACUUCCGGUGGAGCGGUGAAAUGCGUAGAUAUCGGAAGGAACGCCGGUGGCGAAAGCGGUCCGCUGGACCCCCACUGACGCUGAGGCGCGAAAGCCAGGGGAGCAAACGGG